AGAUCCCUCUUCUAGAGUUUUGCAGUGGCCCCAGGAUAUGGGGGUACUCAUCCUUUCAUGUGUUUGUUUUUCCAAAACUGAAAUCUCUGAGUUAUAAGUCCUCUCUCAACUUACAACACCUGGACUGGAAGCUACAGUAGGCGCUUAGUCCCACUCUUCCAGAUGUUGUGAACUGUGAAAAGCAGCUGACAGACUGAACCCCUUAAAAAGUCUUAGCCAUUGAUUUUACGCCAAAGGUAUUCUGUAACAAGGGGAACACUGGACUAGAAAUACCAAAAGAAUAAUAAGAACAGCCCUGACUCAGGUCAGCACGCACUAAUUAUCUGAGCCAAGAGACUGUCAGACAUAGGCUGCCCAAGCAUGGACAACAAAAACAGAAAUAAGGACAUGUAGAAUCAUCUGAGUUGGAAGGGACCUUUAAAGGUCAUCUAGCCAGUCUCCCCUGCAAUAAACAGAGAUACAUACUGCUAGAUCAAGUAGGAUCUCCUGUCGCUCUUGUCAAUAUGCUGAACGGUGUUCAGAAGAAUUCAGCUCCAGCCUAAUCAAAUAUGAACCUAAUUCCAUCUGUAAUAGCCCAAGGCCAUUAUAAGCCAAGAAUCAACAAGUGGAACAGGCUGCAACUGAAUGAAAUCAAACAUACAGCGAGUGGCAUGCAAAGAAUUAAAUAAUUUGCAUUUGAAUUAACGUGUACCUCCUGCCUUCUAAAUGCCGCCUUUGCUCCAAAAUCAGUUUGCUGUAGGAGUAUCUGCAAACCUGGAAUGAGAAGAGGCUAUAAAUAUUGAUGAGUGAGGAUAUAGGCAGUCAACAUUGAGGAACAAUGCUUCUCCUUCUCAAAGCAAGUGUAAGAGCCUCAGAACUACACAUCAGACAAAUUCAACUCAUGGGCUGGGAAGUCUCACCAAAUGGUUCUCAUGACCUCGGCUCACAAAUCCACCCCUGCCCUCUUGGCAGCUCUUGCUCCCAUUACAGAUUGUUCAGCCAUGCACAACGCAGCAGUAAGUUGCAUCAGAGAGCUGCACCAGCUGAGGAACAGAUACACAAGGUGAGCUGGCACCAAUUCAUGUUUCCUUGAUUCAGUAAGAUGCAGCUAAUGGUAAAACUUCUGUAAUUCCGAAGUUUGUAUUUUUACAAACAAAACCCAGCCCUGAGGCCAGCACGUAGACCUAGGUCAAUCUACUCACUGCAGACAGGUAGACUGAAUGCUGAAGCACUUCUUUAAAAGAUGCACUUUGACCUUUCACAGAAAUCUGCCUUUAGAUUUACACAGCAGGACCCAACCUACCAAGGAUGAAGUCCUACUAAACCUCUCAUGGUACCAGAAGAAGGUGCAUUUUAUUUGAAUGUAGAAUAGACAGGACAUGCUUCACUUUACUGUUUACACUUAGUUCUAACAUCUUUGCUCAUUCAUCUUGUUAUUAGUGGCAAUAUACGUAAGGAAAUACAUAAACACAGUAAACAACUUUGUGCAUGAAUUGUAUUUACAAAUUCUCUUUUACAUCCAGUCAUGAAGAUGAAUCACUGCUAUAGGAAAUUCAGCAUCAGCCCUGUGUUCAUUGGAUAUGUUCAGUGGUAGCAACUGUAAACGUGAAUGCUUGAGUGUACUGUGGGAUAUACCUAAUGGAUCACAACUGUGGAGCAGGUACUUUAAAGCUGGAAGGAACCUUUGAUAACAGUACAUUUCUGCAAAUCAAUGGAUUUAUUCCAAGACAUGUAAUAAACUAAAAGCUACUUUAACAGAAUGGUUUGCAGUUCCCAGUCAACCCCCAGGGGACCAUUUGCCCACUCUACUUUGCAUUACAUCUGCUUCCAGUUUCAGAGGGGUCAAAGACCAAGUGUAGAACAUACAAAGCAGAAGGAACAACGUGCUAAUAGCACCAAGACCUACAGCAGCAAGGCAGAGAAAGAACAGCCCCCAUCCCAUUAGCACAUUCUAUUUCCAUUUUAUUCCAAAACUCUCAUUCAGAUAUCCCUUAUGAAGAUGGGUAAUCAAUACAGGAAAUACACUUCUGUUACAGCUGAAUGUUCACUGAAUAGACUCCAUUGCAUCCUGCUCAGGAGCAGCUGUAAGCAUGCAUGCUUUGGGUGCAACAUAUUUAACAAGUAUUGUACACAAGGGUCUUCUACUACCACUGACAGUACUUACCAUUUUUAAGGGCAGUUUUUCAAA